AAUAGUGUUGCUAACGCAACAGCAUAAAAGAGUUCUUUUCUACAUUUUUCAUGUGCGAUGAAACAAAUCCUGUUGUGCAUGCUACAAACAGUUGUAUAUUGCAUUUACAAUCAAAUAUUUGUACAUUUUGACCUCUCUGCCACAAUGGCAAUUUGCAGUUUCAGUGUAUAAGUGUCGUUUUAGUUGUAAAUGUUGAAAUAGAAGGUCAGAAAAAUGUACACAGUUCUGUGUGGUAGCAGCAGUGCAUAGAUUGUAGGCAUACCUGCGCUCCCAAGUUGUGUUAAUUCUACGCACCAGCCGUUUUGCUGUCAUCCGAUAAACCCAAUCAAACAACAACAGCAGGAGGCAUCAAAUCAACCGACACUCUGCAACAUUUUUGUUGCAGCACGAGUGCAAUUGUCGCACAUUUGGUUGCCGCAUUGCUCACUUUACACACAAAACCAAAUAAAUGUAUUGUGAUGUCAAUGUAGGUCUGCGAAAAUAGGAUAAUUGGUCGUGUUUUAAAACAGUGUGUGGUUCGGCGCCACAGCGAGCGAGUGGUUCGGUUUUUUUUUUUUUUUUUUGUGUGGCUUGACAAGUGCAGAAGCAGGAGGAGUAGAAUUUAAUACGCAAUAGGAGGGCAGCGCCCCCUAAACUAUAUUCUUAGUAAUCGACAAUAACUAACGGAAGACCACCAGCAGGAAUAGCAGCGACAGCAUCGUCAACUAGCAGACGCGGUGGCGUCCGCGAGGCGCCUGGCCAGCUCUGUGUGCUUCCUAGAUAAUACCGUGUGGUGUACGAGGAACAGCCAGAGCCACCCAACAGCAGAAUACACCCAGAAUACACCAACGCCGGGCAACAGUUUAUUCGGGGAAUUUUUUGAUGGCAUUUGAUUGUUUCGUCACCUGGUCGCCCUAUUAUAUGCCACCUAAAAGAUGAACAAUGAACAAAAGCCAGCAUCACCAGAUACAUCAUCGUCAUCAUCAUCAUCAUCAUCAUCCACAACACAACCAUCCACAACCUCAUUUGGAAGCGCUUCUGGUGAGCGAUCUGCAGAGCGAUUGGCCGCUGCGGCCAAUAGUAAGAUACCAUCCAUUAUACUACAUACGCCCAUUGUAUCAAUUGCGUCUGGGACAAUGAGCAAAAGCACAACCACUACAACAUCGACAAAGACAACUCCAACCGCACAUAGCAACGUCGAUCUGUUCGAAGCAAUGGCAAAUAAUUUAGCAAGACACGACAGCGUGCCGGUGCAACGUGACGAUGGGAGUAUCGGAUUUCGUGGGCAGAAAAAAGCUGCAUCUGCAAAUGCGAAAUCCACAUCAAAGUCAAUGGCAGAUAGCGAUAAGAGGAAGUCAUACUCCCCCCCAAUCAGUGGCAGCAGCAACAGCAACAACACCAACAACAGCAACA